rnacentral:rRNA from 1 species
UACGGAGGGUGCGAGCGUUAAUCGGAAUUACUGGGCGUAAAGCGUGCGCAGGCGGUUUGUUAAGCGAGAUGUGAAAGCCCCGGGCUCAACCUGGGAACCGCAUUUCGAACUGGCAAACUAGAGUCUUGUAGAGGGGGGUAGAAUUCCAGGUGUAGCGGUGAAAUGCGUAGAGAUCUGGAGGAAUACCGGUGGCGAAGGCGGCCCCCUGGCAAAGACUGACGCUCAGGC